rnacentral:rRNA from 1 species
UACGGAGGGUGCAAGCGUUAUCCGGAUUCACUGGGUUUAAAGGGUGCGUAGGCGGGUUGGUAAGUCCGUGGUGAAAUCCCCAAGCUUAACUUGGGAACUGCCGUGGAUACUAUCAAUCUUGAAUAUCGUGGAGGUAAGCGGAAUAUGUCAUGUAGCGGUAAAAUGCUUAGAUAUGACAUAGAACACCAAUUGCGUAGGCAGCUUACUACACGAUCAUUGACGCUGAGGCACGAAAGCGUGGGGAGCAAACAGG